rnacentral:tRNA from 6 species
GAUCCGGUGGCGAAGUGGUAACGCGGGGGUCUGCAAAACCUCUAUGCGAGGGUUCGAUUCCCUUCCGGAUCUCAA